AGAGGUUGAUCCUGGCUCAGGAUGAACGCUAGCGGGAUGCUUAACACAUGCAAGUCGAACGACCCUUCGGGGGAGUGGCAAACGGGCGAGUAACGCGUACUUAACCUACCCAGAAGUUGGGGAAGACUAUGGAGACAUAGCUAAUCCCCAAUACUAUCUUUUGGCUGAAAUGCUUUUAGAUCAAAGAUUUAUCGCUUUUGGAGGGGGGUGCGUCCUAUCAGGUAGUUGGUAAGGUAAUGGCUUACCAAGCCUAUGACGGGUAGCCGGUCUGAGAGGAUGUCCGGCCGCAAUGGAACUGAGACACGGUCCAUACUCCUACGGGAGGCAGCAGUGGGGAAUCUUGCGCAAUGGACGAAAGUCUGACGCAGCAAUCCCGCGUGGAGGAUGACGCAUUAUGGUGUGUAAACUCCUUUUCUGGUGGAAGACGAAUGACGGUACACCAGGAAUAAGGGACGGCUAACUACGUGCCAGCAGCCGCGGUAAUACGUAGGUCCCGAGUGUUAUCCGGAAUUACUGGGCGUAAAGCGUCUGUAGCCGGAUCUAUAAGUCUGUUUUCAAAUCCUAUGGCUUAACCAUAGAAAGGGAAUGGAUACUGUAGAUCUAGAGAUUACUAGGGGUUGGUGGAAUUUCCGGUGGAGCGGUGAAAUGCGUUGAUAUCGGAAGGAACGCCAAAAGCGAAAGCAGCCAACUAUAGUAAAUCUGACGGUCAGAGACGAAAGCUUGGGGAGCAAACGGGAUUAGAUACCCCGGUAGUCCAAGCUGUAAAUUAUGCACGCUAGGUGUUUUGGACCGAUCUUCGGUCUGGAGUGCCGUAAUCUAACGAGUUAAGCGUGCCGCCUGGGUAGUAUAUUCGCAAGAAUGAAACUCAAAGGGAUAGGCGGGGGAACACACAAGCAGUGGAUUGUCUCGAUUAAUUGGAUGAUAAGCCAAGAAUCUUACCUAGACUUGACAUAUAUUGUGUCCUACGCGAAAGUGUAGUAGUCCAGAGCAAUCUGGACACGAUGUACAGGUGGUGCAUGGUCGUCGUCAGCUCGUGCCGCAAGGUGWMCAGUUAAGUCUGGGAACGAGCGCAACCCUCGUUGUUAGUUAGAAUGUCUAACAAGACUGCUCCGGCAACGGAGAGGAAGGAGAGGAUGACGUCAGAUCCUCAUGCCCCUUACGUCUAGGGCUUCAUAGACAAUACAAUGGGUAGUACAGCGAGAAGCGAUGCCGCGAGGCUCAGCAAAUCUCACAAAGCUAUCCUUAGUUCGGAUUGCAGUCUGGAACUCGACUGCAUGAAGUCGGAAUUGCUAGUAAUGGCGGGUCAGCAUACCGCCGUGAAUAUGUCCCUGUUCCUUGCACUCACCGCCCGUCAAACCAUGGGAGUUGGGGSUCUCUGAAGAUCCGCCCUGCGGGUUAAGGAGAGAAUCGUGCGCUGGGGUUAAGUCGUAACAAGGUAACC
rnacentral:rRNA from 1 species